CUUCGGGAGAAGGGGUGCCAACGAGAGUUGGCCGCAGAGAAUAGGCUCAAGCAACUGUUUAGACAAAAACACAGGUCUAUGCAAACGUAAGGUGAGGUAUAUGGGCUGACGCCUGCCCGGUGCUGGAAGGUUAAGAGGAGAGGUUAGCGCAAGCGAAGCUUUGAAUUUAAGCCCCAGUAAACGGCGGCCGUAACUAUAACGGUCCUAAGGUAGCGAAAUUCCUUGUCGGGUAAGUUCCGACCCGCACGAAAGGCGUAAUGAUUUGAGCGCUGUCUCGACAAUGCAUCCGGUGAAAUUGAAGUACCAGUGAAGAUGCUGGUUACCCGCGCCAGGACGGAAAGACCCCAUGGAGCUUUACUCCAGUUUGGUACUGGGGUCCGGCAGUGCAUGUACAGGAUAGGUGGGAGGCUGUGAACCUGGAACGCCAGUUUCAGGGGAGCCAUUGUUGGGAUACCACCCUUGUGCUGCUGGGCUUCUAACCAGCGGCCUUUAUCAGGCCGGGGGACAAUGCCAGACGGGGAGUUUGACUGGGGC
rnacentral:rRNA from 1 species